CUCAGUAACGGCGAGUGAAGCGGCAAAAGCUCAAAUUUGAAACCCUCGGGAUUGUAAUUUGAAGAUUUGGCAUUGGAGAAAGCUAACCCAAGUUGCUUGGAAUAGUACGUCAUAGAGGGUGACAACCCCGUCUGGCUAACCGUUCUCCAUGUAUUGCCUUAUCAAAGAGUCGAGUUGUUUGGGAAUGCAGCUCAAAGUGGGUGGUAAACUCCAUCUAAAGCUAAAUACUGGUGAGAGACCGAUAGCGAACAAGUACUGUGAAGGAAAGGUGAAAAGAACUUUGAAAAGAGAGUGAAAUAGUAUGUGAAAUUGUUGAUAGGGAAGGAAAUGAGUGGAGAGUGGCCGAGGUUUCAGCCGCCCCUCGUGGGCGGUGUACUGCCGACGCCGAGUCAUCGAUAGCGAGACGAGGGUUACAAAUGGGAGCGCCUUCGGGCGUUCUCCCCUAACCCUCCACACUGCCACCGACGACAUAAUCCACCCAUUUCACCCGUCUUGAAAA
rnacentral:rRNA from 1 species